AGCAUGAUAACCGACGAAUAUACUUGCUUCAUUUCUUACGUUACUCACUUUAUUUAAUGAAAGUGAAUUUAUGGCU
rnacentral:misc_RNA from 1 species